AUAACUACUGGAAACGGUAGCUAAUACCGCAUAACGUCGCAAGACCAAAGAGGGGGACCUUCGGGCCUCUUGCCAUCAGAUGUGCCCAGAUGGGAUUAGCUAGUAGGUGGGGUAACGGCUCACCUAGGCGACGAUCCCUAGCUGGUCUGAGAGGAUGACCAGCCACACUGGAACUGAGACACGGUCCAGACUCCUACGGGAGGCAGCAGUGGGGAAUAUUGCACAAUGGGCGCAAGCCUGAUGCAGCCAUGCCGCGUGUAUGAAGAAGGCCUUCGGGUUGUAAAGUACUUUCAGCGAGGAGGAAGGUGUUGAGGUUAAUAACCUCAGCAAUUGACGUUACCCGCAGAAGAAGCACCGGCUAACUCCGUGCCAGCAGCCGCGGUAAUACGGAGGGUGCAAGCGUUAAUCGGAAUUACUGGGCGUAAAGCGCACGCAGGCGGUCUGUCAAGUCGGAUGUGAAAUCCCCGGGCUCAACCUGGGAACUGCAUUCGAAACUGGCAGGCUAGAGUCUUGUAGAGGGGGGUAGAAUUCCAGGUGUAGCGGUGAAAUGCGUAGAGAUCUGGAGGAAUACCGGUGGCGAAGGCGGCCCCCUGGACAAAGACUGACGCUCAGGUGCGAAAGCG
rnacentral:rRNA from 1 species